rnacentral:tRNA from 1 species
UGGAACGUGGCGCAGUUGGUUAGCGCAGUAGACUGUUAAUCUAUUGGUCGUGGGUUCGAGUCCCACCGUUCCAGCCA